UACGUAGGGUGCAAGCGUUAAUCGGAAUUACUGGGCGUAAGGCGUGCGCAGGCGGUUUUGUAAGUCUGACGUGAAAUCCCCGGGCUCAACCUGGGAAUUGCGUUGGAGACUGCAAGGCUGGAGUCUGGCAGAGGGGGGUAGAAUUCCACGUGUAGCAGUGAAAUGCGUAGAGAUGUGGAGGAACACCGAUGGCGAAGGCAGCCCCCUGGGUCAAGACUGACGCUCAUGCACGAAAGCGUGGGGAGCAAACAGG
rnacentral:rRNA from 1 species